ensembl:misc_RNA 7SK 7SK RNA
UGGUGUUAGGACUGAUUGGCUGUGCUGUCACUGCAUUGAUCCCCAGGGUUGAUUCUGUUGAUCUGGCUAGCUAGGUGGGUGUCCCCUUCUCCCUCACCACUCCAUGUGUAUUCCGCCCAUAGCUCUGAACUUGAUUGAAGAGGAAGACCUUUCCUGAGAGACUAGCACAUCAGCAGUUGAAGAUAAAGGAGUAACUGUCUUCCUCAUUAGAAGAUCCAAACAAGAUCUCAGGGUCCAUACUGGUGGUGGAGUUUGAGAUGAAUUUCUCAACCUCCCAUAAUCAGAAUUUCCUUAUUAUUUGAAAAGGUGAUGUCCU